ACGCUCGACACCUACGGGGGCAGCAGUGGGGAAUAUUGCACAAUGGGGGAAACCCUGAUGCAGCGACGCCGCGUGAGUGAAGAAGUAUUUCGGUAUGUAAAGCUCUAUCAGCAGGGAAGAAAAUGACGGUACCUGAGUAAGAAGCCCCGGCUAACUACGUGCAAGCAGCCGCGGUAAUCUGAGCGGGCUGGCAAGGC
rnacentral:rRNA from 1 species